rnacentral:lncRNA from 1 species
CACCCUUUCUUCCAUGAUAAAACCCUAAGGUCUUAUCAAUUGGUAUCAGAGCGGUGAUCCUUGGCGUUCUCGUUGUAGUGUUGUCGUAGCUAUCAUAAAAAAAAAAGAAACGAAGAGAGGAAGAAGAAGCUACAGCCACGCACCCUUGCUUCCCCUACUUCCGGCCAGCCCACCCGCUGCCGCCGCUGCUCUCCGGCCAGCGAUCGACUCCACCCCGC